rnacentral:rRNA from 1 species
UGGCGGACGGGUGAGUAACGCGUGGGGAACCUGCCCUGUACCGGGGGAUAGCAGCCGGAAACGGCUGAUAAUACCGCAUAAGCGCACGAAUGUCGCAUGACAUGGUGUGAAAAAACUCCGGUGGUAUAGGAUGGACCCGCGUCUGAUUAGCCGGUUGGUGGGGUAAAAGCCUACCAAAGCGAAGAUCAGUAGCCGAGUUGAGAGACUGACCGGCCACAUUGGGACUGAGACACGGCCCAGACUCCUACGGGAGGCAGCAGUG